UGCACGCGGCAUUGCGCCACCUUACUAAGAUGUUACUUAUCAAUGAGUUACGUGAAAUCUGGCGCGGGUUCAACUCCCGCCAGCUCCACCA
rnacentral:tRNA from 1 species